rnacentral:rRNA from 1 species
UACAGAGGUCUCAAGCGUUGUUCGGAUUCAUUGGGCGUAAAGGGUGCGUAGGCGGCGCGGUAAGUCGGGUGUGAAAUCUCGGAGCUUAACUCCGAAACUGCAUUCGAUACUGCCGUGCUUGAGGACUGGAGAGGAGACUGGAAUUUACGGUGUAGCGGUGAAAUGCGUAGAUAUCGUAAGGAAGACCAGUGGCGAAGGCGGCUACCUGGACCGGUUCUGACGCUGAUGCGCGAAAGCGUGGGUAGCAAACGGG